rnacentral:rRNA from 1 species
UACGUAGGCAGCGAGCGUUGUUCGGAGUUACUGGGCGUAAAGAGUGCGUAGGCGGCCAACUAAGUCAGACGUGAAAUCCCUCGGCUUAACCGGGGAACUGCAUCUGAUACUGGAUGGCUUGAGUUCGGGAGAGGGAUGCGGAAUUCCAGGUGUAGCGGUGAAAUGCGUAGAUAUCAGGAGGAACACCGGUGGCGAAGGCGGGACUCUGGGCCGAUACUGACGCUGAGGAGCGAAAGCGUGGGGAGCAAACAGG